AAGAAAAGAAAUGGUAGACUGAACCAUAUAAAUAUUUUCAUUAUAUAUGUGACUGCAUCGUGACUAUAGGUCAACCAAGGUCGGAUCAUAAGGCACCUAAGUAAUCUAGUCGGGAUAUUCAACCUCUAUCUUUAUGUAAAAACCAAAUCCUGAACCUUAUGGUACGAACAAGGAUACUCAUACUUCUUUUAUGGAUAAAGCUAACAAAAAUGCAGUUAACAAAUAUGAACUCCUGAGGCCUUCCUAUUGUCAUUAAAUACACGUGUGGGGAUCUAAUAAUAGGUCUCUGAUCAGUCAUAGUAUGCAUGUGUUCCUUGCCUUAAUAGUUGCACACACUCAAUAUGAAAAUACAUGUGCAUUUGCUCAGAAAAGAAAGUAAUAGAAUAAAUCA
rnacentral:lncRNA from 1 species